rnacentral:rRNA from 1 species
CCAAUAGCGUAUAUUAAAGUUGUUGCAGUUAAAAAGCUCGUAGUUGAAUUUCGGGGUCAGUAGGCUGGUCGUGCCACGGGUAUGUACUGGUCUUACUGAUUCCUCCUUCCUGAUGAGCCGUAAUGCCAUUAAUUUGGUGUUGCGGGGAAUCUGGACUGUUACUUUGAAAAAAUUAGAGUGUUUAAAGCAGGCUAACGCUUGAAUACAUUAGCAUGGAAUAAUGAAAUAGGACGAUCGAUCCUAUUUUGUUGGUUUCUAGGAUUGACGUAAUGAUUAAUAGGGAUAGUUGGGGGCAUUAGUAUUCAAUUGUCAGAGGUGAAAUUCUUGGAUUUAUUGAAGACUAACUACUGCGAAAGCAUUUGCCAGGGAUGUUUUCAUUAAUCAAGAACGAAAGUUAGGGGAUCGAAGACGAUCAGAUACCGUCGUAGUCUUAACCAUAAACUAUGCCGACUAGGGAUCGGAUGAUGUUAAUUUUUUAAUGACUCAUUCGGCGCCUUACG